rnacentral:rRNA from 1 species
AUCGUAAUCUACUUUUUCGUGGGGGAUAACGUAGGGAAACUUACGCUAAUACCGCAGACGACCUACGGGUGAAAGCAGGGGAUCUUCGGACCUUGCGCGAUUGAAUGAGCCGAUGUCGGAUUAGCUAGUUGGCGGGGUAAAGGCCCACCAAGGCGACGAUCCGUAGCUGGUCUGUAAGGAUGAUCAGCCACACUGGAACUGAGACACGGUCCAGACUCCUACGGGAGGCAGCAGUGGGGAAUAUUGGACAAUGGGCGCAAGCCUGAUCCAGCCAUACCGCGUGGGUGAAGAAGGCCUUCGGGUUGUAAAGCCCUUUUGUUGGGAAAGAAAUCCAGCCGGCUAAUACCUGGUUGGGAUGACGGUACCCAAAGAAUAAGCACCGGCUAACUUCGUGCCAGCAGCCGCGGUAAUACGAAGGGUGCAAGCGUUACUCGGAAUUACUGGGCGUAAAGCGUGCGUAGGUGGUUGUUUAAGUCUGUUGUGAAAGCCCUGGGCUCAACCUGGGAACUGCAGUGGAAACUGGACAACUAGAGUGUGGUAGAGGGUAGCGGAAUUCCCGGUGUAGCAGUGAAAUGCGUAGAGAUCGGGAGGAACAUCCAUGGCGAAGGCAGCUACCUGGACCAACACUGACACUGAGGCACGAAAGCGUGGGGAGCAAACAGGAUUAGAUACCCUGGUAGUCCACGCCCUACACGAUGCGAACUGGAUGUUGGGUGCAAUUUGGCACGCAGUAUCGAAGCUAACGCGUUAAGUUCGCCGCCUGCGGAGUACGGUCGCAAGACUGAAACUCAAAGGAAUUGACGGGGGCCCGCACAAGCGGUGGAGUAAGG